rnacentral:hammerhead_ribozyme from 1 species
GCACUGCCGAGGAGUCCCAUAAUAGGACGAAACGACCUUCCAGUGC